GACGAACGCUGGCGGCGUGCCUAAUACAUGCAAGUCGAACGCAGUGGGGACGGGUGAGUAACACGUGGGUAACCUCCCAUCAGAGGGGAUAACACUUGGAAACAGGUGCUAAACCGAUACUGAUGGAUGAACCCGCGGUGGAUUAGCUAGUUGGUGAGGUAACGGCUCACCAAGGCCACGAUGCAUAGCUGACCGGAGAGGGUGAUCAGCAACACUGGGACUGAGACACGGCCCAGACUCCUACGGGAGGCAGCAGUAGGGAAUCUUGGGCAAUGGACGAAAGUCGGACCGAGCAAGGCCGCGUGAGUGAAGAAGGUUUUCGGAUCGUAAAACGCUGUUGGUAGAGAAGCGUUAUCUAACCAGAAAGCCACGGCUAACUACGUGCCAGCCGCCGCGGUAAUAC
rnacentral:rRNA from 1 species